GUGAGGAAUUUUCCGCAAUGGGCGAAAGCCUGACGGAGCAAUGCCGCGUGAAGGAUGAAGGCCUAUGGGUUGUAAACUUCUUUUCUUAGAGAAGAAUAUUGACGGUAUCUGAGGAAUAAGCAUCGGCUAACUCUGUGCCAGCAGCCGCGGUAAGACAGAGGAUGCAAGCGUUAUCCGGAAUGAUUGGGCGUAAAGCGUCUGUAGGUGGCUUCAAAAGUCUCCUGUCAAAGAUCAGGGCUUAACACUGGGACGGGAGGAGAAACUCUGAGGCUAGAGUUUGGUAGGGGCAGAGGGAAUUCCCGGUGGAGCGGUGAAAUGCGAAGAGAUCGGGAGGAACACCAAAGGCGAAAGCACUCUGCUGGGCCACAACUGACACUGAGAGACGAAAGCGAGGGGAGCAAAAGGGAUUAGAAACCCUAGUAGUCC
rnacentral:rRNA from 1 species